UAUCAAAAUAAAACGCUCUUUUCCGUAUUUGGUUGUUAGCCAAGGCGAUUUUGCACUGAAUCCUGUGGCUGCGGUUUAUUCAGACGUAAUAAAUGUUGGCUACAUGUUGAAGAUGUCACCACCAGAUGUGCUGAGUGACCCGAUGAAGGUGAAGCUCCCCAGCCUCUUCCAGACCUGCAGGACUUUCACCAGGACUUGGUGAUGGCACUGAGCUCCAGAAGUUCUGGUUUGGGCUUGUGCAGGCUCACACGCCAUCAACGUCUAGUCGGUCUCUGUUCUGAAAUAAAGUCACUUAAAAAUUCAUUACUUCUGAAGCUCAUUGAUUCUCAGGCAUUACCUACAUCUGCUGAGAUUUUUUUUUUUUUUUUUUUGGAGAAUGACUGUUUUUAAGUUUCUGAUAUGGGCGCUGGUUCUGUAGCUGUUUUUUUUAUUUUAUUUCUCAUCUAGCACUGGACUCCUCAACUCCAGACCUUGGGGGCCGGCGACUUGUAGAUGUGUCCCUGAUCCAACACACCUGACUCUAAUAGCUGAAUCACUUCCUCAGUGCAGUCAUUUUCUCCAUGGUAACAUCCUCAUUACUUGACUCAGGGGUGUCGAGGCAGAGACACAUCUAACAGCUACAGGACACCGGCCCUCCAGGCCUGGAUUUGAGGACCACUGAUCCGGCUGGUAGUUUACUUUUGUGAAGUCAUCAGCUGCAACAAGCUUGAAUUGCAUAAAGAUCACCUCUGUCCUACUCAAAGUCACUGGUAUAGUUUAGAUAGAGCUCUGACAUGAUAAAGAAGGCUGGUUCUGUUCUGGGGACGACUGUGGAGACUAUGGUGUGAAGAAAGAUUCUUCAUAAAAUCAAGAAAGUUAUGGACAAACCUGAGCAUCCUCUUCAUGAGACUGUUUUGAGAAAACGGAGUGUCUUCAGUCAGAGGCUUCUUCAGAUUCCCUGGAAUACAGACUGCACCAGAGAUCUUCCCUGCCAGCACCCAUCAAGCAUCUUUCAAUAACUCUUUAAAGAAUCUGAAUUAAUGAGCUACAACAUCAUUUAAUUCCCCUUUGUGAUAAAGUAUGCAAAUGCAAAUGCAUUUGUGAGUGGAGCAGCAGAAUGGUUGCACCAUGAAAAGCUUUCCAAAUCACGUGGCGCACAUACAAACAGUUUUGGUGGAGGUGUGUGAAGGUGUGUGUCGCCAUCUGCCUAACUGAAAAAACACAGAUCGUCAUCAUUGGAGGCUAUUUCAAUGCAGAGUGAUCCUGAGAUGAGGCUCUGCAACCAAAAGCAAUCCUCUCUUCCUUUUCAUCAGACUAUCCUUCAGGAUGUCAGGGCUCGGCCCACAGAGGCAGGGAGAACAGAAAGACCUUCAGAAAUGUAAAAUGGAGGAGACUGCCUGCAGUCCUGAUGUUAAUCACUCUGAACACUGGUGUCAGUUUGCACAUGCCAGAAUGAACAGCACAAACACAUUGGCUGAUGUGAGUAGGUCAAACACUUGUUGAGGUAUGGUAUGCCAAGCUAAUGACCAGGAGGGGUAGCAGGCCCUUGUGGUUGUGUGUGGGUUCCCAAACACUCCUGAACCGCCGUGUGCGUUACGACAAUUUUCACUGAAUAUCAAUCAUCCAAUCCAAUAAACAAUAAAAAUAAGAAUCAACAGACGAAUGAGCUGCGUGGGACUAACAGAGAAAACCCUAUCCACAAAUCCAUUUUCCUUUCAAAUGUGGCACAAUUUAAAG